AUUCCAGCUCCAAGAGCGUAUAUUAAAGUUGUUGCAGUUAAAAAGCUCGUAGUUGGAUUUCUGGUAUAAUGCGCCUGGCCCGCUCCGUUUCGGAGUGAGUGCCGGUGCGCGUUUGCCAUCCUUCUAGAAAAUGUUUCUACCCUUCGCUGGGCCGGAUUCACGAUCUAGAUCUUUUACUUUGAAAAAAUUAGAGUGUUUAAAGCAGGCUUUUGCUAUGAAUACAUUAGCAUGGAAUAAUAAUCUAGGACUUCGGUUCUAUUUUGUUGGUUUCUAGUACUGAAGUAAUGAUUGAUAGGGAUAGUUGGGGGUGCUAGUAUUGGCCGGCCAGAGGUGAAAUUCUUGGAUUCGGUCAAGACUAACUUAUGCGAAAGCAUUCACCAAGGAUGUCUUCAUUG
rnacentral:rRNA from 1 species